CCUACGGGAGGCAGCAGUGAGGGAUAUUGGUCAAUGGGGGAAACCCUGAACCAGCAACGCCGCGUGAGGGAAGACGGUUUUCGGAUUGUAAACCUCUUUUGUCAGGGAACAAAGGCGGGGACGUGUCCCCGGAUGAGUGUACCUGAAGAAAAAGCAUCGGCUAACUCCGUGCCAGCAGCCGCGGUAAUACGGAGGAUGCGAGCGUUAUCCGGAUUUAUUGGGUUUAAAGGGUGCGCAGGCGGUCUGUUAAGUCAGCGGUCAAAGCCCGGGGCUCAACCCCGGCCCGCCGUUGAAACUGGCAGUCU
rnacentral:rRNA from 1 species